AUACCAUGAUGGGGACACCUUUUCAAUAACUCCUUACACCUUUCACAUGCAUCAUAUAAAGAUUCACCUUCUGUCUGAAAGAAAUUAUUAAUCUCAGCUCGCAAACU